rnacentral:rRNA from 1 species
AUUGAACGCUGGCGGCAUGCUUUACACAUGCAAGUCGAACGGCAGCGCGGGCUUCGGCCUGGCGGCUAGUGGCGAACGGGUGAGUAAUUCAUCGGAACGUGCCCAGUAGUGGGGGAUAGCCCGGCGAAAGCCGGAUUAAUACCGCAUACGACCUGAGGGUGAAAGCUGGGGACCGAAAGGCCUCGCGCUAUUGGAGCGGCCGAUGUCGGAUUAGCUAGUUGGUGGGGUAAAUGCUUACCAAGGCGACGAUCCGUAGCUGGUCUGAGAGGACGACCAGCCACACUGGGACUGAGACACGGCCCAGACUCCUACGGGAGGCAGCAGUGGGGAAUUUUGGACAAUGGGGGCAACCCUGAUCCAGCCAUGCCGCGUGCGGGAAGAAGGCCUUCGGGUUGUAAACCGCUUUUGUUCGGGAAGAAAUCCUCUGGGCUAAUACCCCGGGGGGAUGACGGUACCGGAAGAAUAAGCACCGGCUAACUACGUG